AUGCUGCCUCCCGUUUCGCCACAGCCCCCUCCCCCCACGCAACUGUACUAUAAAAGUUUCGCCUUCCUAGGCUCGGCUGCGGUGGUGUCCGGAGCUGAUCUGCGCGGCAGUGCUGCCGCUCGCGGCCGGCGCGCGGCCGGCCGUCCCGGUGUGCUCUCCGGCGCUGGAGCGGGAGGAGGAGGAGAUGGUGACAAAGAUGGAACAGCUAAAAAAAACAUCAACAUCAAGAAGGGUGAUGCCCUGCUGCGGUGGCUGCAUCUGGUGAAUGGUGACCGGCCAUUCAACUUCCAUAGCCUUCCUUGCAUUUGGAAGAGGACUUGA
rnacentral:rRNA from 1 species